ensembl:lncRNA
AUUGGGGGACAGCAAACCCCGCCCCUGAAACCACCAGAUGGGUCAUGAAUUAUUGAGUAGAAUCCUAGAGACUCCAGAAUCAUGGCUGGCAGUGAGCAGGGUAGCAGAAGGAACGAGUGAAGCAGAGAUCCUAGAUUCCAAGUCUGGCUGCCAACUUUAUUUCAGGGCAAGUGGAAGGCUUGGUUAGGUAUAUGAACCUGUAGACUCUGGCAGAAAGGAUGAGGGAAGGAGAUACAAACUUAGAAUCUAAGAAGAAAUGCCCCGAACUUAACCAUCUUCUCUUCCAGGGCCUGCUCCCUUCUUUUUUUUUUUUUUUUUUUUUUUUUGCCUGCUCCCUUCUUAUCUUGAUGAUAUCCUGCCUGGGGCCCAGCACCAUAAAGAGGCCUGGGCCAGAGGCAUGUGGCAGGGCUCAUUGAGAGUCCUUCAGCUUCCAGAAGCUCCGUGAGUCCAACUUGGGGUGAAGCCCAGGGCAGCAGUUUGAGGGUUCCACAUAAGGGGCAGUUAUUCCCCCUAACCCAUAACAAGGACCUAAGCUGUGCCUGACCUUAGCCGUCACUCUUUGUAGCAACUGCCCCUUAUUGCUGGUACUGGCAGGGAAGGCUUCCAAGGCCCAUACCGGCUCCUUGCCUUGGAUCAUGACUCAGUUGCUCUUUGGAAAUAGUUACAACAGCCUGUUGCUUCACUUGGAUUUCUGAGGUAUGAAGGAGGGAAGGAAGGGACAGAAAAAAAGACAGGAAAUGAGACUUAAUCCUUUCUGGGGAGAGUCACCAGGAAGUUCAUCUCCCAAAUCCUGCUUCGGCCUCUGCAUUGGCUCCUCAUCUAGGCUUCUUACUCAGGGCUAGUCUGGUGGAAAGAGGCUGCUCAGUGUGAUUCUUGGCUUGAGAGGUUGGGAGGAGGGGACAGGAUUAUUCUUUGACUAUAUCAAAGCCCCACACUCCCCCCCCCCCCCUCACCUAAAGUGGCCCCACUGCCUGCCUGUUUUCUUUGGCAGGUGUCCCCUUGGGUCUGCUCCUGGCCUCGCUAGCAGGGGCCAAAGGAGUUUGGGACCCCCGCCAGGAGAAGCAGAUUUCUCCCACACUGUGGGAUGCUUUGGAAGAAAUCCACACCCGCUAUGCCACUGUUCAGGACCUGUGUUCUGGGCUCUCUGGAACGGCUCUACAGGAGAGCCAGCUUACUCAGCUGAGCCUGGUGCUCAGGGAAUUAAAGGUGAGACAGAGCCAGGCACCAGCCCUCCAUGUGGGGUAGCAGGGGCUCUAGAAAGUAUGCACUGAACUUGCUAUUUACAGGUACUGAAAAACCAAAGCCGGAGCUGGGAGACCAGGAUGCUCAAGGGAGUUGGAGCUUCUGUAACCAGGCUUCCAAACCUGCAGACACCUAAAAUAUGAUGGAUCCCAGAUUAAAUACCCUUGUUCUAAGGGAGAGGAAAAUGGAACUUGGUCAAAUGAAAGACUAGGAUGUAAGUCCUCCUAGUCCUGUCUCACAGGCCUCUGAUGUGGCCCUGCAGUUUAUGUUAGCUUGGGCCCACGGGCAGCUGCUUCAGGAACAUCACCGAUCCCAGAUCCAAGAGGAGCUGAGCUGGUUGGGACAGGACAAGGAAACAGCAACACAUCAGG